rnacentral:rRNA from 1 species
UACAGAGUUCUCAAGCGUUGUUCGGAUUCAUUGGGCGUAAAGGGUGUGUAGGUGGCGCCGUAAGUCGGGUGUGAAAUUUCGGAGCUUAACUCCGAAACUGCAUUCGAUACUGCGGUGCUUGAGGACUGGAGAGGAGACUGGAAUUCAUGGUGUAGCAGUGAAAUGCGUAGAGAUCAUGAGGAAGACCAGUGGCGAAGGCGGGUCUCUGGACAGUUCCUGACACUGAGACACGAAGGCCAGGGGAGCAAACGGG